rnacentral:rRNA from 1 species
GCGGCAGGCCUGGGGCAUGCAAGUCGAACGAGAAAGUGUAGCAAUACAUGAGUAGAGUGGCGCACGGGUGCGUAACACGUGGGAACAUACCUUAAAGUGGGGGAUAACAGUUGGAAACGACUGCUAAUACCGCAUAAACCCUUCGGGGGAAAGAUUUAUCGCUUUAAGAUUGGCCCGCGUUGGAUUAGCUUGGUGGUGAGGUAAUGGCUCACCAAGGCAGUGAUCCAUAGCUGGUCUGAGAGGAUGACCAGCCACACUGGGACUGAGACACGGCCCAGACUCCUACGGGAGGCAGCAGCUAGGAAUAUCGGACAAUGGGCGAAAGCCUGAUCCAGCCAUGCCGCGUGAGUGAAGAAGGCCUUCGGGUUGUAAAGCUCUUUUAGUUAUGAAGAUGAUGACUGUAGUAACAGAAAAAGCACCGGCUAACUUCGUGCCAGCCGCCGCGGUAA